GAAGAAAUCUCAAGUUGGAGGAGAAUCAAGAGGAGAAUGUGGAAGAGUAAACAAAGAAAGAAGAUGUGUGCUUCACCACGGAAAUUGAAUCUGCAAAGCAUAUGGAAACCUCAGGGUUCCAGCAUUUCACUCAGACCUCUGAAAAUCAUCACUGUGGACUUUAAGAAGCAACAGGAAACCCAGAUGAAUAAAAACUGACUUCCUUUCUGGCUGUCCCAGUAGAUCAUGUCUAAUAGCUGCAGUAUUCAUGGUGCCUGUCCCCUGGGCUUGGACACCAGAUACUGCAUACCUGAGUCUAACGCAUCCAGGAACCGUAGGUGAAGGUGGUAUGGAAUGAGGAGAGAGAGAACUGACUUUUGCAUCCCAUCAAAGCAAUAAGAGCAUACCUUUGGGACAAUGGAUGGCAAGGCAUCAGAGUUGAACUGAAGCCAACUCUGGGUUUUUAAAGAAAAAUUUUCAUAACACUUUUAAGUGAGCAGAUUCAAAAGACAGCAUGAAUCAGUCUCAAAAUAUUCUGGGUAAUUAAUUCCCAA